AAGGAUGCCAUUUAAUUGAAACCCCAAAUCUUGUUUCAGAGCUGGACAAAUAUAGGGCAGGAUGGUAUUAAAGCGAAGGAGAGAGCUCGGAAUAUAAAAGAAGCAAUUGAUGCGUGUCUCGUGGUGCUUUAGCUAUACAAAUCCCAAGGAGGGCAACCGGCAGGGAUCAUCUUCAAAGGAACUCUGCUGAAAUAAAUUACGGUUGCAAAAGCGAACACUUAUAAAGCAACAGAUGGAGAUGGAUAAAACAGUAGGAUUCCAGUCAAGAAGAUAUGAGAAUGCAGUUGGAUGAAGCACUGGGCUUGCAGGUCAUGAGUGUGCCUCUGGAAUAUCUGAACUGAAAAUUACAGUGAUACUACAAUGAUUGAAAAGUGAAGCUUCUCUCAAAUCAAGCUCACCUUCUGCUGACUUAUCCAUGAUUUCAGUCCCCCCCUCCACCAUUUUUCUUUUUCUUCUUUGAAUAUAGAAGUUGCUUAUUAUUGGCCAUUUCCAUACCAAUGACUUACAGUAACUUGAUAGGAUCACCCAGCAAUGGUAAUCA